GUUUGACCCAACAGAGCUUUCACCCGACGGGGUUAUGCAGUUCAUAGCUCAGUAUAGAAUUCCUUAUCGGUAUGAGUGUUGCCUUCCUAUCGAGGGCCAAAUUCCUUGUGAGCACGAGGAGAACGAGGUCUACAUCUUCGAGUAGGCCUUGGUGACCGGUCUCAAGUUUCCGCUUCACCCCCUCAUCAUUGAGGUGUUGAAAUAGUACGACAUCUCGAUAGAUCAACUUCACCUGAACUCCACUAAGACCCUUGUAGGCACCACUUGAUUGAGGAGGCACUAAUUCGAGCCGGGUUGAGUCCUCCAGGAGAGAUGGGACGCAUGAACACGUCGGGAGCUCUUGGCGUUGCCAUGAAGAAGUCUAAGAAGAGGAAGGUUGGUGACUCUUCCUGAGCUACGAUAGUAGAACGACUGUGGUUCGAGGAGCAUAGAUCCACUGUAGUUGUUGACCUCGUCAAUGAGGAGAAGGGGGACAAGAUGUGAUUUGUUCUUGCAACAACAAGCAAACCAUCCAAACUUUGGGCAUCCUGUUUGAGCCCAUCCCAGGCGUGAUUGAAACAUAGGCUCCUAAUUUGAACUCGAGGUGAUAUGUUACGACUUCUAACUGGAUUCGGGACCCUUUGGUCACGCUUGAGUUGGGUAGGGGCAUCCUUCUUCCCACGGACGUGAGGAGUUUCAAUGACCAGACUACCCUGGUGUUUGGUGGGAAGUUGAUCUGAGCCAUCCUAAUAGCCAAUAGCAUGGCACAAGUUCUGAUGGGAAGGUGGAAAGCUUCCCAAUGUCAUUACAAGCUAGCCUAGAAGGAGGUGGAUGGCCUCCAAACUCAGUUGGUUGGAGCUCGGGUCAGCGUGUGGCAGUCAGCAGAGCAUCUUGAGGCGAUCAAAGCCGAGAAUGCCAGCAUGUCUAAGAGGUUGGUUGAGUCUGAGAAGAACGUGAAGUCCUUGAUGACCGAGCUAGAGUAGCAAGCUGUUGAGCUGGUGGAGAGGAGGGCCAUACAUUGUGAGGACAUCCACCUAGCACAGGAGAAGGCUAUGGAGGACUUCUACGCUUUGUCGUUGGGCCUUAAGGAGAAGAACAAAUAUGCCGCCAUUACCCUAAAGAAGGGCUUCAAAUUAUGUCAUCAUCUUGUUGGAUCGCUCUUCUCGAAUUACUCUCGAUUGGCUAGUGCUCUCGACCCUCACUACCUACAUUAUAUAGGAGGUCAAUGAGGAGCUGGGCACUAAGGAGGAGGAGGACAGAGACAUCAAGGAGGACGACAUAGAAACCGAGAAUGAUAACUAGCUCCAGCCCCCAAACCAAGAGUGACACUUAGACUCUUUUCUUGGACCCCCUGUAUAUAUGAUGUAUCACAAACCUCUGAGCUUCUGUUGUUUGUUUGAA